UACGGGGGGAGCAAGCGUUGUUCGGAUUUACUGGGCGUAAAGGGCGCGUAGGCGGCCACUGCAAGUCGGUUGUGAAAUCUCUGGGCUUAACCCAGAAAGGUCAACCGAUACUGCGGGGCUAGAGUGCAGAAGGGGCAACUGGAAUUCUCGGUGUAGCGGUGAAAUGCGUAGAUAUCGAGAGGAACACCUGCGGCGAAGGCGGGUUGCUGGGCUGACACUGACGCUGAAGCGCGAAAGCUAGGGGAGCGAACGGG
rnacentral:rRNA from 1 species